GAUGAACGCUGGCGGCGUGCCUAAUACAUGCAAGUCGAGCGAACAGACGAGGAGCUUGCUCCUCUGACGUUAGCGGCGGACGGGUGAGUAACACGUGGAUAACCUACCUAUAAGACUGGGAUAACUUCGGGAAACCGGAGCUAAUACCGGAUAAUAUAUUGAACCGCAUGGUUCAAUAGUGAAAGACGGUUUUGCUGUCACUUAUAGAUGGAUCCGCGCCGCAUUAGCUAGUUGGUAAGGUAACGGCUUACCAAGGCAACGAUGCGUAGCCGACCUGAGAGGGUGAUCGGCCACACUGGAACUGAGACACGGUCCAGACUCCUACGGGAGGCAGCAGUAGGGAAUCGUCCGCAAUGGGCGAAAGCCUGGCGGAGCAACGCCGCGUGAGUGAUGAAGGUCUUCGGAUCGUAAAACUCUGUUAUUAGGGAAGAACAAAUGUGUAAGUAACUAUGCACGUCUUGACGGUACCUAAUCAGAAAGCCACGGCUAACUACGUG
rnacentral:rRNA from 1 species